UACGUAGGCAGCGAGCGUUGUUCGGAGUUACUGGGCGUAAAGCGUGCGUAGGCGGUGUCUUAAGUUUGUUGUGAAAUCUCCCGGCUUAACCGGGAGGGUGCGGCGAAUACUGAGAUGCUGGAGUGCCGGAGAGGUAAGCGGAAUUCCUGGUGUAGCGGUGAAAUGCGUAGAUAUCAGGAGGAACACCUGCGGUGUAGACGGCUUACUGGACGGUAACUGACGCUGAGGCACGAAAGCGUGGGGAUCAAACAGG
rnacentral:rRNA from 1 species